GGUUGGUUAGUGUAAGGGCUAGCACGAGAGAUUCUGAUUCUCUAGAUCUGGGUUCGAAUCCCAGACCGACCU